rnacentral:rRNA from 1 species
AUUGAACGCUGGCGGCAUGCCUUACACAUGCAAGUCGAACGGUAACAGGUCUUCGGAUGCUGCCGAGUGGCGAACGGGUGCGUAAUACAUCGGAACGUGCCCGAUCGUGGGGGAUAACGGAGCGAAAGCUUUGCUAAUACCGCAUACGAUCUACGGAUGAAAGCAGGGGACCGCAAGGCCUUGCGCGGACGGAGCGGCCGAUGGCAGAUUAGGUAGUUGGUGGGAUAAAAGCUUACCAAGCCGACGAUCUGUAGCUGGUCUGAGAGGACGACCAGCCACACUGGGACUGAGACACGGCCCAGACUCCUACGGGAGGCAGCAGUGGGGAAUUUUGGACAAUGGGCGAAAGCCUGAUCCAGCCAUGCCGCGUGCAGGAUGAAGGCCUUCGGGUUGUAAACUGCUUUUGUACGGAACGAAAAGACUCUUUCUAAUAAAGAGGGUCCAUGACGGUACCGUAAGAAUAAGCACCGGCUAACUACGUG